UACGUAGGGUGCGAGCGUUAAUCGGAAUUACUGGGCGUAAAGCGUGCGCAGGCGGUUUGACAAGUCAGAUGUGAAAGCCCCGGGCUCAACCUGGGAACUGCGUUUGAAACUGUCAGGCUAGGGUGUGUCAGAGGGAGGUAGAAUUCCACGUGUAGCAGUGAAAUGCGUAGAGAUCGGCAGGAACACCCAGGGGGAAACCAGUCGACUGGGCAGCACCUGACGCUCAGGCACGAAAGCGUGGGGAGCAAACAGG
rnacentral:rRNA from 1 species